UAGGGAAUCUUCGGCAAUGGACGAAAGUCUGACCGAGCAACGCCGCGUGAGUGAAGAAGGUUUUCGGAUCGUAAAACUCUGUUGUUAGAGAAGAACAAGGACGUUAGUAACUGAACGUCCCCUGACGGUAUCUAACCAGAAAGCCACGGCUAACUACGUGCCAGCAGCCGCGGUAAUACGUAGGUGGCAAGCGUUGUCCGGAUUUAUUGGGCGUAAAGCGAGCGCAGGCGGUUUCUUAAGUCUGAUGUGAAAGCCCCCGGCUCAACCGGGGAGGGUCAUUGGAAACUGGGAGACUUGAGUGCAGAAGAGGAGAGUGGAAUUCCAUGUGUAGCAGUGAAAUGCGUAGAUAUAUGGAGGAACACCAGUGGCGAAGGCGGCUCUCUGGUCUGUAACUGACGCUGAGGCUCGAAAGCGUGGGGAGCAAACA
rnacentral:rRNA from 1 species